AGAAUCAACGCUGGCGGCGUGCCUAACACAUGCAAGUCGCACGAGAAAGGGGAGCAAUCCCUGAGUACAGUGGCGCACGGGUGAGUAACACGUGAAUAAUCUACCUCCGAGUGGGGAAUAACUGAGAGAAAUCUUAGCUAAUACCGCAUAAUACCCACGAGUCAAAGCAGCAAUGCGCUUGGAGAGGAGUUCGCGGCAGAUUAGUUAGUUGGCGGGGUAAUGGCCCACCAAGACGAUGAUCUGUAUCCGGCCUGAGAGGGCGCACGGACACACUGGAACUGAAACACGGUCCAGACUCCUACGGGAGGCAGCAGUGGGGAAUUUUGCGCAAUGGGGAAACCCUGACGCAGCAACGCCGCGUGGAGGAUGAAGCCCCUUGGGGUGUAAACUCCUUUCGAUCGGGAAGAUAAUGACGGUACCGAUAUAAGAAGCCCCGGCUAACUUCGUGCCAGCAGCCGC
rnacentral:rRNA from 1 species